rnacentral:rRNA from 1 species
UACAGAGGAGCCAAGCGUUGUCCGGAUUGACUGGGCGUAAAGCGCACGCAGGCGGCACCGCGCGUGGGGUGUGAAAUCUGGCCGCUUAACGGCCAGGCGCCAUCCCAUACGGCGGAGCUGGAGUGAUGCAGAGGUCGAUGGAAUUGCCGGUGUAGUGGUGAAAUGCGUAGAGAUCGGCAGGAACACCCAGGGGGAAACCAGUCGACUGGGCAUCUACUGACGCUGAGGUGCGAGAGCGGUGGGGAGCGAACCGG